UCAGAUAAUUGGUAAAUACGGUUGCCUGAAAAGACAAUGCCGUGAAGCUACCAUCUGUAGGAUUAUGACUGAACGCCUCUAAGUCAGAAUCCAUGCUGGAAAGCAACGUCUAAUCAAUAAUAAACGAAAAACAUUAAGUCUUCGGACUGAAGUUCACACCAUGGGCGAAACGGAUUACCGAAACAGGAAAAUCUAUACCGCUCGAAUCGUAAUUUCGAAUUAUUUAUUGACACAAAUCUUUUGUAGACGACUUAAUAUAGGACCGGGUAUUGUAAGUCUGAGAGUAG
rnacentral:rRNA from 1 species